CACUAUCGUUAACUGAAUACAUAGGUUAACGAGGCGAACCGGGGGAACUGAAACAUCUAAGUACCCCGAGGAAAAGAAAUCAACCGAGAUUCCCCCAGUAGCGGCGAGCGAACGGGGAGCAGCCCAGAGUCUGAAUCAGCUUGUGUGUUAGUGGAACGGUCUGGAAAGUCCGACGGUACAGGGUGAUAGUCCCGUACACCAAAAUGCACAGGCUGUGAACUCGAAGAGUAGGGCGGGACACGUGGUAUCCUGUCUGAAUAUGGGGGG
rnacentral:rRNA from 1 species